rnacentral:rRNA from 1 species
GAUGAACGCUGGCGGCGUGCCUAAUACAUGCAAGUCGAGCGAACGGACGAGAAGCUUGCUUCUCUGAUGUUAGCGGCGGACGGGUGAGUAACACGUGGAUAACCUACCUAUAAGACUGGGAUAACUUCGGGAAACCGUAGCUAAUACCGGAUAAUAUUUUGAACCGCAUGGUUCAAAAGUGAAAGACGGUCUUGCUGUCACUUAUAGAUGGAUCCGCGCUGCAUUAGCUAGUUGGUAAGGUAACGGCUUACCAAGGCAACGAUGCAUAGCCGACCUGAGAGGGUGAUCGGCCACACUGGAACUGAGACACGGUCCAGACUCCUACGGGAGGCAGCAGUAGGGAAUCUUCCGCAAUGGGCGAAAGCCUGACGGAGCAACGCCGCGUGAGUGAUGAAGGUCUUCGGAUCGUAAAACUCUGUUAUUAGGGAAGAACAUAUGUGUAAGUAACUGUGCACAUCUUGACGGUACCUAAUCAGAAAGCCACGGCUACCUACGUG